rnacentral:rRNA from 1 species
UACGUAGGGGGCAAGCGUUGUCCGGAAUCAUUGGGCGUAAAGAGCGUGUAGGCGGCCAGAAAAGUCCGCUGUGAAAACUCGAGGCUCAACUUCGAGCUGUCGGUGGAAACUUUCUGGCUAGAGUCCGGAAGAGGAGAAUGGAAUUCCUGGUGUAGCGGUGAAAUGCGCAGAUAUCAGGAGGAACACCGAUGGCGAAGGCAGUUCUCUGGGCCGUAACUGACGCUGAGGCGCGAAAGCCAGGGGAGCGAACGGG